rnacentral:lncRNA from 1 species
AGAUCACACUCUGGGCCACAAAUCAAAGCUUGGUAAAUUUAAGAAAAAUGGAAUCAUAUCAAGCAUCUUUUCUGACCACAACACUAUAAGACUAGAAAUCAACAACAAGAAAAAAACCUGCAAAAAAAACACAGACACGUGGAGAUGGAACAAUAUGCUACUUAGCAACCAAUGGAUCACUGAAGAAAUCAAAGAGGAAAAAAAUACCUAGAAGAAAAUGACAACAAGACGUAAUAAUUCAAAACCUAUGAGAUGCAGCAGAAGCAGUUCUAAGAGGGAAGUUUAUAGCAAUACAAGCCCACCUCAGGAAACAAGAAAAAGCUCAAAUAAACAACCUAACUUUACACCUAAAGCAACUAGAGAGAGAACUGACAAAACCCAAAGUUAGCAGAAGGAAAGAAAUCAUAAAGAUCAGAGCAGAAAUCAAUGAAAUGGAAACAAAGAAAACCAUAGAAAAGAUCAAUGAAACUAAAAUCUGGUUCUUUGAAAAGAUCAACAAAGUUGAUAAACCCUUAGCCAGACUUAUCAAGAAAAAAAGAGGACUCAAAUCAAUAAAAUUAGAAAUGAAAAAGAAGUUACAAUGGACAUCAUAGAAAUACAAAGGAUCAUAAGAAACUAUUACAAGCAACUAUAUGCCAAUAAAACAGACAAACUGGAAGAAAAGAAUAAAUUCUUAGAAAAGUACAGUCUUCCACUAAACCAAGACGAAGAGAAAAGAUGAGUGGACCAAUCGCAAGUCUGAAACUGAAACUGUGAUUUAAAAACUUCCAACAAACAAAAGUCCAGGACCAGAUGGCUUCAAAGGUGAAUUCUACCAAAAGUUUAGAGAAGAGUUAAUACCUAUACUUCUGAAAAUAUUCCAAAAAAUUGCAGAGGAAGGAAGACUCCCAUUCCAUGAGGCAGCCAUCACCCUGAUACCAAAACCAGACAAAGAUAACACACAAAAAGAAAAUUACAGGCUGAUAUCACUGAUGAACAUAGAUGCAAAUCCUUAAUAAAAUACUAGCAAACCGAAUCCAGCAAUACCAUUUAAAGGAUUGUACACCACAAUCAAGUGGGAUGUAUCCCAGGACUGCAAGUAUUUUUCAGUAUCUGCACAACAAUCAGUGUGAUACACCACGUUAACAAACCGAAGAAUAAACCAUAUGAUCCUCUCACUGGUGCAGAAAAAUAUUUUGACAAAGUCCAGCACCCAUUUCUGAUUAAAAACAAAAAACAAAAAACCCCUCCAGGGAGUUCCCAUUGUGCAGCAGAAAUGAAUCUGACUAGGAACCAUGAGGAUGCAGGUUUGAUCCCUGGCCUCAUUCAGGGGGUUAAGAUCCGGCAUUGCCAAGAGCUGUGGUGUAGGUCACAGACACAGCUCGGAUCCUGCAUUGCUGUGGCUGUGGCUGGCAGCUGCAGCUCCAAUUGGAUCCCUAGCCUGAGAACAUCCACAUGCUGCAGGUGUGGUCAAGAAAGAAAGAAAGAGAAAAGACUACCUUCUUCCUCAUUCUUUUAGUAGACAUCAGGCUUCCAUCACUAGCUCCUCCUUUGUAUUGGGUAAGAGAGUACUUGACCCUAUGAGGUCAAACUAGGACUGCCACGGUACUUGUUCAAAUCAGCAAAAGGGUGGCAACAUAUGCUAAAUAUGUUGAAUCAUCUCAGGUUUCUGUUUGAGGGUCUCCUACUUUGGAAUCUCAUCUUUCCCUUAAAUUCCUGUCCCAUUAUCUUGCUGAACUUAAGGGCAGGCCUAGUCUUACCUUUUACUUAAUGACCUGAGGCAUAUCUAUCUUGUGCUUUUGCUUAUGGUUUUAUAGUUAAGCAAGUCUGCUUGGUUCCUUCCACAAUGUUCUGAUAGCUUUCUUGAGCGAUCAUUAACUUACAGUGGUUCCCCCAGAGUUCCCUAUGUUUCCCUUUCUAUCUACGGUCACCUACUGGGACUAAUACAAUACUUGCGUAACUAUCUGACUCUAUCCCUAUCAUCCCUGUCGACUUAAAAAUGCACAACCUGAAAGUUGAGAGUUGAGUUUUAUUUAGGGCAAAAUUAUGACUUAAGCCCAGGAGAUAGUAUCUUGGUUAACCUUGAGAAAUCACUCCGAGGCAAUGAGCGGGCAGCUAGGAUAUAUAGGAGUUUUUUGCAACAAAGAGAAGGUAGUAGGAACAAAAGAUUUACAGAAAACUAGUUCUAUGGGAAGAUAUAAAGGUCUAGGCUUACUGGAAUCACUCCUUUGAUGUGCACCAGUGUUCUUUGCUUUUUUCCUAAGUUCCCUCAGGGCUCACCAGCUCAUCCUUGGGAGGGGCUUCCCUCACAGAUGACCAGGGCACCCUUUGCUUUGUCUGCUUACUACAGCCCAGGAAGCAGAAUUUCAGACAGCUCUGAAAUACCACCCCAAAGAGAAAAGGGGAAAUAUCAAGAUAUAAGUGAUAAAGGUGAAGGAGGAGGUGCAGGCAGCCAUGCACACAUUUUACAGAAGUUUGCUGCUGGUCUCGUGAAGGUUACUAUUAGUCAUAGACAUCAGUCAUCAUGAAGGAUUUUAGUGUUUUUCUGGUUAUAAGGAGAUGCAAGAAUUGGGCUCAUAAAAUCUUCUCCUAAAAAUAUCUAACUAUAUGAAGACCUAUUCUUCCAGUUCUCCCAGAGCACAGAGUGCCUUACUCCUGGUCUCCCCCCUGAACUCUGCUCAGGGGGUGCUAUGGGUUGGCAGCUGCAGUGGCUCAUGAUUUAAUCCAUAUAGAGGCAGAAGGCAAGGCCCAAACUUCAGUUCACAUCCCCAAGCUACCAUUUUAAGGGCUUCUCAGUGUUUCUCAUCCUCUAUUCAGCUACCUAUUGCUGAGGCUAAUCCCAAGCAAGUGUUGUUGAGAGGCGGGAGCUUCUUUCUUCUGCUCAGCCCCAAUUUGUCGAACAGAGAUUGUACCUUGGGUGUGGGGUACUUAAGGGUAUGCCCUUCCACCAACCAAUAAGGUGUCAGCUUCAUGCCAGGAAAGACAAGCCAAGGGCACUUCAGGCUGCCAUUGCCACAUUCCAGUGAUCACUCAACUCUCAACUCAGAGAGAAACUGGUCAUUAUCCCUGCCUGCAGCUCUAGAGCCCCGGCUCAGAGAUAUUGCCUGGGUAGAAAAGCAGGUUGUGGAGUUCCUGUCGUGGUUCAGUGGAAAGGAAUCUGACUAGGAUCCAUGAGGACGCAGUUUCAAUCCCUGGCCUCUCUCAGUGGGUUAAGGAUCCAGCGUUGCCAUGAGCUGUGGUAUAGGUUGAAGACACAGUUCAGAUCUGGCAUUGCUCUAGCUGUGGUGUAGGCCAGCGGCUACAGCUCCGAUUGGACCCCUAGCCUGAGAACCUCCAUAUGCC